rnacentral:rRNA from 1 species
UACGUAGGGUGCGAGCGUUAAUCGGAAUUACUGGGCGUAAAGUGUGCGCAGGCGGCUGAGCAGGUCGAGUGUGAAAGCCCCGAGCUUAACUUGGGAAUUGCGCUCGAAACUACUUGGCUCGAGUGUGGCAGAGGAAGGUGGAAUUCCACGUGUAGCGGUGAAAUGCGUAGAGAUGUGGAGGAACACCGAUGGCGAAGGCAGCCUUCUGGGCCAACACUGACGCUCAUGCACGAAAGCGUGGGGAGCGAACAGG